UUUGUUUUGGCUUCAAAUUUCCUUUAAAAAGUGGUGAAAAUGUCGAAGAAACCUCUUCGAUCGCAAGCAAGAAGUAUUGUUUUCAAUGUUUAUCAAAGAAUACUUGAUCAACAAGGUGCAGAACAUGCACAAUCAUCGAUAUUGAGCCAUGUGCAAGUGUUGACUGGGGUUUCUAAUACUACGAUAAGACGAAUUGUUGCCGAGGGCAGAUCUAACAGAGGCGUAUUUAGUACGCCCGGUAAAAAGAGGAAAGGUGGUUUUGAUUUAGAAUUGAAA